rnacentral:lncRNA from 1 species
UAAGGGAGUUCAAUUGGGAUCGGAAAGUAAUAGUUGAUCAAAGUCUAGACUCUCAGUCUAGAAUUACACAGAUUCACUAGAAAAUGAGAUUCCUCUCCCAAUAAAUUUAAUCUAAGAGUUCAUGGUCAAAUUAAUUACUUUAGCUUUUUCCAACCACAAAACUUGUUUCUGAAUUAAAGUACAAUACAGCCUUAACCCAUUCAAUUCGGGGCACCCUUUUGAUUUUCCAUUGCUCUCGGAUUUUCCAGCAGUUUAGUCUCAUUUGGAUUAAUUGCCAGUACUCUAGAUGGAAAAUUCUCCCAGCAGAUUGUUCCAUUCAUAGCCAUUUAGAAAGCACUGCUUGCGUCAGACUGUUUUCUGCUUGAAUAAAGGGGGCUGUUACUGCAAACCCCAAUUUUUCUUGGCGUCCAGCAGUCACACUUCAUUGAGUACACCCUGUGCUUGCCUUCUACUAAUGACCUCUCAGAGCAAAAUGCUUUAUCUAACCCACCAAGUUGCAGAUUUACCUUUCCUUAGAGCACUGAUUAAGGCCAGAGAGGCUAUAAUUCCAUCAACAGACAUCACAUGACUGCAGUACUAGU